AUUGAACGCUGGCGGCAUGCCUUACACAUGCAAGUCGAACGGCAUCGCGGGAAAGCUUGCUUUCCUGGCGGCGAGUGGCGUACGGGUGAGUAACACAUCGGAACGUACCGGCUAGUGGGGGAUAACCCGUCGAAAGACGGGCUAAUACCGCAUACGCUCUUCGGAGGAAAGCAGGGGACCUUUGGGCCUUGCGCUAGCCGAGCGGCCGAUGUCCGAUUAGCUAGUUGGUGGGGUAAAGGCCUACCAAGGCGACGAUCGGUAGCGGGUCUGAGAGGACGAUCCGCCACACUGGGACUGAGACACGGCCCAGACUCCUACGGGAGGCAGCAGUGGGGAAUCUUGGACAAUGGGGGCAACCCUGAUCCAGCAAUGCCGCGUGGGUGAAGAAGGCCUUCGGGUUGUAAAGCCCUUUCGGCAGGGAAGAAAUCGGCGGGGCGAAUAACCCUGCUGGAUGACGGUACCUGCAGAAGAAGCACCGGCUAACUACGUG
rnacentral:rRNA from 1 species